CUACGGGGUGCUGCAGUGGGGAAUAUUGGACAAUGGGCGCAAGCCUGAUCCAGCAAUGCCGCGUGUGUGAAGAAGGCCUGCGGGUUGUAAAGCACUUUCAGUGGGGAAGAAAAGCCGUUGACGAAUAGUUGGCGGUGUUGACGUUACCCACAGAAGAAGCACCGGCUAACUCCGUGCCAGCAGCCGCGGUAAUACGGAGGGUGCGAGCGUUAAUCGGAAUUACUGGGCGUAAAGGGCGCGUAGGCGGUUGAAUCAGUCAGAUGUGAAAGCCCUGGGCUUAACCUGGCAAUGGCAUUUGAUACUGUUUGACUGGAGUUUGGUAGAGGAGAGUGGAAUUCCCGGUGUAGCGGUGAAAUGCGUAGAGAUCGGGAGGAACACCAGUGGCGAAGGCGGCUCUCUGGACCAAAACUGACGCUGAGGUGCGAAAGCGUGGGUAGCAAACAGGAUUAGAUACCCCCGUAGUC
rnacentral:rRNA from 1 species